rnacentral:rRNA from 1 species
GCCAGCAACCAUAUCACCCUACAAUUUACAGCUGGCACCCCACUGGAGCUCAGCAGGUGUGAGCCUGGCCAGUACCUGGAGGGGAGACCUCCUGGGAAAGCUGAGGUUGCUGCUGGAA